GGAACGCGUCCACAUACACGUCGACAACAAGGGACACGGCCACGGACACACGUCAAUUUCAUGGUCACGGUCAUCGACAUGGAUCUGCAAAUAAAGGUCUGCCUCCGCCAGUAGCUUGCCUGGCGACCAAAAGCCAAUUCUAAUCUCAAACAGAUCUACGAAAGGUCAGCUGCUGCCGCCGCCUGCGGUGGUUUGUCAAAUCUCUCCUAACGUCGUCAUCUGCCUGCCACAUCGCCGUUAACCUCUGCCAUGCGAAGAGUUCGGCCGCCGCUACUAUCUGGUCAUGUAGCACCAAUAAAGCUCCCCUGAGUUAUUUUUACGUUAUGCUAUAUAUGAAGUGUGUGUAUGCGUCAUGUGUGUGAAGAAGUUGUCGCUGUGAUAGUGGAUUUGAAUUCACUUAACUUCUGGUGGUCUCGCAAUUGCAAUUGGAUGU